rnacentral:rRNA from 1 species
GACGAACGCUGGCGGCGUGCCUAAUACAUGCAAGUCGAACGCUUUGAUUUUCACCGGAGCUUGCUCCACCGAAAAUCAAAGAGUGGCGGACGGGUGAGUAACACGUGGGCAACCUGCCCGACAGAGGGGGAUAACACUUGGAAACAGGUGCUAAUACCGCAUAAUUUGUUUUCCCGCAUGGGAGAAUAAUAAAAGACGCUUCGGUGUCACUGUUGGAUGGGCCCGCGCUGCAUUAGUUAGUUGGUGGGGUAAUGGCCUACCAAGACCGUGAUGCAUAGCCGACCUGAGAGGGUGAUCGGCCACACUGGGACUGAGACACGGCCCAGACUCCUACGGGAGGCAGCAGUAGGGAAUCUUCGGCAAUGGACGAAAGUCUGACCGAGCAACGCCGCGUGAGUGAAGAAGGUUUUCGGAUCGUAAAACUCUGUUGUUAGAGAAGAACAAGUGGGAGAGUAACUGUUCCCACCUUGACGGUAUCUAACCAGAAAGCCACGGCUAACUACGUGCCAGCAGCCGCGGUAAUACGUAGGUGGCAAGCGUUGUCCGGAUUUAUUGGGCGUAAAGCGAGCGCAGGCGGUUUCUUAAGUCUGAUGUGAAAGCCCUCGGCUCAACCGAGGAAGGUCAUUGGAAACUGGGGAACUUGAAUGCAGAAGAGGAGAGUGGAAUUCCAUGUGUAGCGGUGAAAUGCGUAGAUAUAUGGAGGAACACCAGUGGCGAAGGCGACUCUCUGGUCUGUAAUUGACGCUGAGGCUCGAAAGCGUGGGGAGCAAACAGG